GUGGAGGAGAAGAUGCUCGACAGCAGGUGGACGAGGCGGCCAUGACGGUUCCCAUGCUUAAGGAGUGCUGGGUGUUGCUGCUGAGAAGAGGCAGAUGGGGUAGCAUCAGCAUCUCUCCCACUUGUUGGAUUGUGUGUGUGUGUGUGUGUGUGUGUGUGUGUGUGUGUGUGUGUGUGUGUGUGUGUGUGUGUGUGUGUGUGUGUGUUCUGGUCCAUUUGAAAGCUCUCAUUGGUUUGCAUGCUUCAUGUAAGUUACCCAUUCCUUUUCGUUUUAAUGUUUGUUUUAUUGAUAUUCAUAUUCUUAAUAUACAGUAUAAUUGUGUAUUUAUUUACUUUAUUUUUUCUAUUUAUUUUGUACAGUUAAGUUAAGCAAUUUAUUUUAUUUUGUACAGUUAAGUAAUUAUUGACUCAUUGUAAAUAUAAGUGUUUAACUUCAAUUGUUAUGUGUGUCAUCACUUUUUAUUUUAUAUUCAAAAUUAAAUGGAUGAAAAUCC